rnacentral:rRNA from 1 species
GGGAUUGGCGGCUUUCUAUACUUGCAGUCGAGCGAGUCCCUUCAGUUCUACCGGCGGACAGGUGAGAAACGGUUAGUCUGCAGCCUCUCAAACUGGGUAAACAUAUGAAAAACUUAUGCUAUACCGGAUAGGUUUUUGGAUCGCAUGAUCUGAAAAGAAAAGAUGGUUUUUCCUAAUCCUUGGGAGAGGGGCCUGCGGCGCAUUAGCUAUUUGGGGGGGUAACGGUCUACCAAGGCGACGAUGCGUAUCCGAUCUGAGAGGGUGACCGGUCACUCUGGGACUGAAACACGGUCCAAACUCCUACGGGAGGCAGCAGGAGGGAAUUUUCCACAAGGGACAAAAUUCUGAUGGACCACCCCCGCGGGAACAAGAAGGGUUUUCGGAUUGAAAGUUUUUUUUGUCGGGAACAAACCCGUCCGGUUCAAACAGGGCGGAACUUUGAGGGACCUUGACAAAAAACCCACGGAAAAUUUGUUGCCACCACCCGGGGUAAAACAAGGGGGGCAGGCUUUGCCCGAUUUUUUGGGGCAAAAGGGGCGCGCAGGGGUCUAGAAAAUUCUGGGGUAAACCCCGGGGUUUCACCCCCGGUUCCAUUCGAAAACUGGGAACUUGGAUGGAAAAAAAGAAAGGCGAAUUUCACGUGGAACCGUGAAAUGCCUAAAAAUUUUGAAGAAACCCCAGGGCCAAGGCCGCUUUUCGGGAUGGUAUUGGACCCUAAGCCCCAAAGCCUGGGGAACAAACAGGAAUAGAAACCCCGGUAAUCCACCCCCUAAACGAAGAAUGGAAAGGGUUGGGGGUUUCGAUAACCGUCAUGGCGCAAAUAACGGAAAUAGCACUUCCGCUGGGGGAAUGUGCCCUCGAAAAGAUGAAACAUCAAGGGAAUGGCGGGGGCCCCGCACAGCGGUGGAACUGUGUGUUUAUAUUUGGAUCAACGGAAAAAAUCUAACCCGUUCUGGAAUCCGGAUGGACGUCUGUAGAGACAGAGUUUCCUAUCGGGUCAGGUGACAGGUGGGUGCAUGGGUUGUCUUCCAGCUCCGGUCGGGAAAGUUGGGUUAAAAUUCCCGCACACAAGCCCACUCUUAUCCUUUA